AUGGUCCAAUUAUAGAACUUCUUCUUUUUCAUUACUUCCAUGGUCGUGCCCCGUGGCACGGCAGCACCCGUACUAUUGAAAUGGUUCGUCAGUAGAGAUGUUCCCACUAGUGCCUCUUCUUCCAAUGGUACUAUAAUUCCUAUUCCUAUCCCUUUAUUCCCUUUUUUGGUCUAUCUACAUUUAAGGAAAUUCAUACGCUCCAUGGACAGAGCAAAAAGUGGAGUGUUGGUCAAAGCAAGCCGCCCUAUUCUAUUACCAGACAAAAUGGAGAGAAGCUCAUCCGCUAGAAAUGCUUUAUUUAGUUUCGUUCCCGUUCUUCAUUUCCUUAUUAUCGAAUCCAUGGGGGACUUGUCAUAUUUAGAAUCUUUCUGCGGUCUGCUCUGUUUACAAUUCUUUCGUACUCUCUUCUCUUUACCACGCGAUAGGUCAGCGAAGCGUGAGCGGGCGCUCCGAAAUAAAGGCCAAGCACUUCGGCCUAAGGGGAAUGAGCAACAAAAUGACAAGAUGAGGUGCCCCGGGCACCCCCAUAUAGAAAGAAGAGUCGAAGGUUUUGGGCCUGUAGCUCCCCCCCCCUCGUCGAGUGGUGCUUGUUUGGGGGGUGUGCCACCAGAAAGCGGGCUUGAAGCUCUCGCCUUACCAACGAGCCGACUGCUGAUGGCUGUUGGUCACGACUACUACAAAAAAGUGAAGAUGAAUCUUUCUAUUUCACAUGGAGGAGUGUGCAUCUUUAUGUUGGGUGUUCUUCUGUCGUGCGACCCGAUGGAUUAUGUGUGACCUGUGGCCCAUGCCUCCUAUUCUAUUUGUUUAGGGCGGGCAGCGUGA
rnacentral:rRNA from 1 species